UACGAAGGGUGCAAGCGUUACUCGGAAUUACUGGGCGUAAAGGGUGCGUAGGUGGUCUUUUAAGUCCGUUGUGAAAUCCCUGGGCUCAACCUGGGAAUGGCAGUGGAUACUGUGUGGCUAGAGUACGGAAGAGGCGAGUGGAAUUCCUGGUGUAGCGGUGGAAUGCGCAGAUAUCAGGAGGAACACCAAUAGCGAAGGCAGCUCGCUGGGACGUUACUGACACUGAGGCGCGAAAGCGUGGGGAGCGAACAGG
rnacentral:rRNA from 1 species